GACGUAGGGCGCGAGCGUUGUCCGGAUUUAUUGGGCGUAAAGAGCUCGUAGGCGGCUUGUCGCGUCGUUCGUGAAAACCUGCAGCUCAACUGCAGGCUUGCGGUCGAUACGGGCAGGCUAGAGUUCGGUAGGGGAGACUGGAAUUCCAGGUGUAGCGGUGAAAUGCGUAGAUAUCUGGAGGAACACCGGUGGCGAAGGCGGCAUCCUGGACCGGCAUUGACGCUGAGGAGCGAAAGCCAGGGGAGCAAACGGG
rnacentral:rRNA from 1 species